rnacentral:rRNA from 1 species
GCUGACGAGCGGCGGACGGGUGAGUAAUGCCUGGGAAUAUGCCUUGAUGUGGGGGAUAACCAUUGGAAACGAUGGCUAAUACCGCAUAAUGCCUACGGGCCAAAGAGGGGGAUCUUCGGACCUCUCGCGUCAAGAUUAGCCCAGGUGGGAUUAGCUAGUUGGUGAGGUAAUGGCUCACCAAGGCGACGAUCCCUAGCUGGUCUGAGAGGAUGAUCAGCCACACUGGAACUGAGACACGGUCCAGACUCCUACGGGAGGCAGCAGUGGGGAAUAUUGCACAAUGGGCGCAAGCCUGAUGCAGCCAUGCCGCGUGUGUGAAGAAGGCCUUCGGGUUGUAAAGCACUUUCAGUCGUGAGGAAGGUAGUUGCGUUAAUAGCGUAAUUAUUUGACGUUAGCGACAGAAGAAGCACCGGCUAACUCCGUGCCAGCAGCCGCGGUAAUACGGAGGGUGCGAGCGUUAAUCGGAAUUACUGGGCGUAAAGCGCAUGCAGGUGGUUUGUUAAGUCAGAUGUGAAAGCCCGGGGCUCAACCUCGGAAUUGCAUUUGAAACUGGCAGACUAGAGUACUGUAGAGGGGGGUAGAAUUUCAGGUGUAGCGGUGAAAUGCGUAGAGAUCUGAAGGAAUACCGGUGGCGAAGGCGGCCCCCUGGACAGAUACUGACACUCAGAUGCGAAAGCGUGGGGAGCAAACAGGAUUAGAUACCCUGGUAGUCCACGCCGUAAACGAUGUCUACUUGGAGGUUGUGGCCUUGAGCCGUGGCUUUCGGAGCUAACGCGUUAAGUA